rnacentral:tRNA from 1 species
GUGCCGGUGGACCAACUGGUCAGGUCGCCUCUCUGUGAAAGAGGAAUGUACGGGUUCGAGUCCCGUCCGGCACCCCC